GAGUUUGAUCAUGGCUCAGAUUGAACGCUGGCGGCAUGCCUUACACAUGCAAGUCGAACGGUAACAGGUCUUCGGAUGCUGACGAGUGGCGAACGGGUGAGUAAUGCAUCGGAACGUGCCCGAUCGUGGGGGAUAACGGAGCGAAAGCUUUGCUAAUACCGCAUACGAUCUACGGAUGAAAGCAGGGGACCGCAAGGCCUUGCGCGGACGGAGCGGCCGAUGGCAGAUUAGGUAGUUGGUGGGAGUAAAAGACUUACCAAGCCGACGAUCUGUAGCUGGUCCGAGAGGA
rnacentral:rRNA from 1 species